GGCUGCCCGCUCAAAUGCCCCCAUAGUGUCCGCCACACAUUACGCAUCUGUUUUGUUACCUAUCUCAUGUAAAUAUUCUCUUCUCUCAUUAGUUACAUUCAGCAGCAGGAAACUGUCACAACCUCUCCUUGUGUCACACACACACAACGGACAUGCCCCUCCCCUCCAUAGGGAUUCUAAUACAGUUGAAUGACAAUUCAGCUCAGUGUUCACUAGGUUAGCAUCAUUAGCAUCGCAGGUUCAGUGUUCACUAGGUUAGCAUCAUUAGCAUCGCAGGUUCAGUGUUCACUAGGUUAGCAUCAUUAGCACCGCAGGGCAAAUUAAUUCAGCUCAGUGUUCACUAGGUUAGCAUCAUUAGCACCGCAGGCUCAGGGUUCACUAGGUUAGCAUCAUUAGCACCACAGGCUCAGUGUUCACUAGGUUAGCAUCAUUCACACCGCAGGGCAAAUUAAUUCAGCUCAGUGUUCACUAGGUUAGCAUCAUUCACACCGCAGGGCAAAUUAAUUCAGCUCAGUGUUCACUAGGUUGGCAUCAUUAACACCGCAGGCUCAGUAUUCACUAGGUUGGCAUCAUUAACACCGCAGGCUCAGUAUUCACUAGGUUAGCAUCAUUAACACCACAGGCUCAGUGUUCACUAGGUUAGCAUCAUUAGCACCGCAAGGCAAAUUAAUUCAGCUCAGUGUUCACUAGGUUAGCAUCAUUAGCACCGCAGGGCAAAUUAAGCUCAAUACAGUUCACUAGCAUAACUUUCCCUGCGGUGUUAAAGUUCAAUUCAGCUCAGUGUUCACUAGGUUAGCAUCAUUAAAUUUCACGUUAUGAUCAAUCUUUCAGCCCUAGUGAGUGUGGUGGUAGCGUAGUGGCUAAGGAAGUUAGCUAGCAUGCCGCAUGCCAUAGUCACAAAGUCCUGAGCUGCCUCCAUAGCACUUAAUCCCAAGACUGGCCCUCCAAAUUGGUAUCUGUAAGUUGCCUUGGAUAAAAGUGUGUGUGUGUGUGUCUGUGUCUGUGUGUGUGUCUGUGUGUCUGUGUGUGUGUCUGUGUGUGUGU